AUUGAACGCUGGCGGCAGGCCUAACACAUGCAAGUCGAACGGUAACAGGGUUCAGCUGGCUGAUUCGCUGAGGUGUGGCGGGCGGGAGUGUAAUGUACGGAAAACUGCCUGAUGGAGGGGGAUAACGACUGGAAACGGUAGCGAGUACGGCAUAACGUCGCAAGACCAAAGAGUGGGACAUACUGGGCUCUUGCCAUCGGAUGUGCCCAGAUGGGAUUUGCUAGUAGGUGGGGUAACGGCUCACCUUGGCCACGAUCGCUAGCUGGUCUCAGAGGAUGGCCAGCCACACUGGAACUGAGACACGGCCCAGACUCCUACGGUGGGCCGCAGUGGGGACUCUUGCGCGAUGCGCGCAAGCCUGAUGCAGCCAUGCCGCGUGUAUGAAGAAGGACUUCGGGUUGUAAAGUACUUUCAUCGGGGAGGAAGUGAGUCAAGUUAAUACCUUUACUCAUUGACGUUACCCGCAGAAGAAGCACCGGCUAACUACGUG
rnacentral:rRNA from 1 species